CCGAGCAAUCGUCGCUCAAAUGGACGAAUACCAACUUUUUAUGGAGAGUUCCUUGGUGAAACUGGUAGGAAACCUGGCAAAACUUGAUAGAUUUCACUAAUAAAAAAUCAAGACGGCGACGGAUGUGGCGAGUCAAUUUUUAAUCCAGAAUAUCAUUGGAAAAUAUUAGAUUUCUUUGAGGGUGCAAUAAACUCACAAGACCUAUCUAACUUGAACUGGGAAUUAUUAGUUUUGAGAAUUCACAACAUAUACCAAGAUUUUGGUCAAAUUAUUACGGGAUUGUCUCCAAAUAUGCCAAAUGACACUUCAAGUGUCCCGCUGGAUAAAUUGAUUAUUGAAUUAAAAAAGAUUCUGUUGUUGAUUAUUGGAAUUCUUGUCAAAGGAAGAAAUGGAGAAACUAUAAUCGAAAACAUCCAAUCGAUGAAAAUUGAGACACAAGUAGACUUAAUGCACGAAUUGAAACAAGUAAAACCAAUCAAACAUAAUCAAUAAGAUUACUGAAAAUUCUACAAACAUAUUGUGUGUUGAAAAUGUGAAGAAUGGAAACGAUUUUUAUUUGAGCG